AUCUUCCGCAAUGGGCGAAAGCCUGACGGAGCAACGCCGCGUGAGUGAUGAAGGGUUUCGGCCCGUAAAACUCUGUUAUUAGGGAAGAACAAAUGUGUAAGUACCUGUGCACCUCUUGACGGUACCUAAUCAGAAAGCAAUGUCUAACUACGUGCCAGCAGCCGCGGUAAUACGUAGGUGGCAAGCUUUAUCCGGAAUUAUUGGGCGUAAAGCGCGCGUAGGCGGUUUCUUAAGUCUGAUGUGAAAGCCCACGGCUCAACCGUGGAGGGUCAUUGGAAACUGGGAAACUUGAGUGCAGAAGAGGAAAGUGGAAUUCCAUGUGUAGCGGUGAAAUGCGCAGAGAUAUGGAGGAACACCAGUGGCGAAGGCGACUUUCUGGUCUGUAACUGACGCUGAUGUGCGAAAGCGUGGGGAUCAAACG
rnacentral:rRNA from 1 species